rnacentral:pre_miRNA from 1 species
AGUUGCUGUAGCCUCCUCCCUCUUGGAAACAGCCACUGUAGAAUGAUGGGCCUCUAGGGUUCUCUGUCGGCCAUGGUUGUGUUCAAGGCCGAGCAACAUGCAGAG